CGCAACGCCACCGGUGCCGCUCCGCUCCGGUCGCUCAGGGGCUGCCCCCGGCCCGCGCCGCGCCGUGCUUCUCGGCGAACCUCCUCCUGGCAUAGUCGUACAGCGCGCGCUUCCUCUCCUGCAGGGACAGGUGCCGUUCCAUGGGGGACUUUGCAAACUGCUUUGUAGCUGGCUUGGAAGAAGGCAAAGCCACGGAGCCCUGGAUGCCAGAAGCUGAUGCAGCCCAGGAGGUAGAUGGAGCAGGCAGGUCAGUACCAGCCUCACUUUCAGGGAAGAAGGGC
rnacentral:lncRNA from 1 species